CUCCUUCUCCUCCUGCUCAUCAAGCGCCGCCAAGAUCGCACCGCCUCCUCUCUUAUGUCAUGGGCAUGAACUCUACCUUUGUGGAUGGGAUUUUUCAAGCCAAUGAGUUCCUUGGAAGGAGGUAGAAGUUAGGAUAUAUGCACUUAGCAUGAAUUUUGUAUCUGAUCACUUCCUGCUAGACCUUCUCUUAGAAUCUUCAUUCAUCCAUGAACCUCAGAAACUUGAAAUUCUUUUCUGGAUUAGUGAGUUAGCACACCCUCUCAUCUACUUUACCAAAUUCAUUCGACCAUGAUAUUCUAGAUGGUAGCGGUCAUAACUAAAGAGAAUAUAUGAUGGCACUUUACCUAUAUCAAAUUUAUAUUCUUUCAUGUCAACUUAGUAUUAAAAAUAUCACUGAAAAUAUUUUCAUUGACUCUACCAUCAUGUAUCCUUCUUCUCUAAGACAUGAUCAUAGGUAGCAUGUGUUACUUAGGUAUGAACCAGUGGACUGCUGAAGAAUUCUCUUAGGGCUGUUUGGGUUUCAUUCAUUUUCUGCACUGAUUUUCUUGUUUAUUAAAUGAUACUCGUGCAAUUCUGGAUUUUAGGUGCUGGGUCAUGCAUGAGUUCCAUUUUCUCCACUGAUUUUCUUGUUUGUUAAAUGAUACUCGUGCAAUUCUGGAUUUUAGGUGCUGGGUCAUGCAUGAGUUCCAUUUUCUCCAGUCUGUCUGUUAAAUGAUACUAGUGUAAUUCUUUCCUGCACUGAAUUUCUUGUUUGUUGGUAGGGCAAAUCCCGGAGACGAGGCAGGAAAGAGAAGAGAGUGGGAGCAGGAUAGAAGAAAGAAGAGUAAGAAGGCAGAAAGCUGAUGUCUUCCAAGGAGUUUUACUAUUAGCUCACUUAGUUUUGUAGGCUUCUCGACUUCUUGUUUACUCGACUCAACUGUGGAAUCUUUAGACAGGUUGUGUAAACAACGGCAAGGUUUAUGGGUGGUAAUUUAUUUUACUGGUGACAGUGACACUAGCGAGCAUGGGUGUAGAAUUUGUUUAUCGCCUGAUGGGAAACAUCUA